AGUGGCGAACUGGUGAGUAACACGUGGGAAAAACCUGCCCAGAAGCAGGGGGAUAACACUUGGAGACAGGUGCUAAUACCGUAUAACAACAAAAACCGCAUUGGUUUUGUUUGAAAGGUGGUUUCGGCUAUCACUUCUGGAUGGUUCCGCGGCGCAUUAGCUAGUUGGUGAGGUAAAGGCCCACCAAGGCAAUGAUGCGUAGCCGACCUGAGAGGGUAAUCGGCCACAUUGGGACUGAGACACGGCCCAGACUCC
rnacentral:rRNA from 1 species